CCUCUCAUAGCUCAGUUGGAAGAGCGAAGCAUUGUAAUCCCCUCGACCCGUAUUCAACGGGUCACUUUUCAGACUGCUUAGGUCGCCCGUUCGAUCCGGGCUGAGAGGA